UAAAUAUUUUCAGGCUGCUGAAAAAUCUGGAAGAAGAUGUUGUUAGUUCUCUUGGAAGACUACUGGAGUUCUCCCUUCCGCAUAUACUAGGAAAGCCAAGGCCACAGUGCCUGGUGUAUAGCCACGAAUGCUAACUGGAUGGAUGGAUGGGGAGACAGAUAAAUGGCCGCACUAACCGAGGCAGACAGACCCCACGUCACCCAUCCGGUAAGUGACAGCUGGUUUCAAACGCAGCCCUGGACCCAGAGCUCACGUCCUAAACCACGGCACUUACUGCCGGCCGAUCUCACCCUGAGUGGACAGAUCUCACUCGUGGCUGGACUCAUGGCCUUCCCCAGUAACCAGGAUGGAUUCAUUAGCCAAACUACUCUCAGUCCUCCCAAUC